rnacentral:rRNA from 1 species
AGCGACGCCGCGUGAGGGAUGGAGGCCUUCGGGUUGUAAACCUCUUUCGCCAGUGAAGCAGGCCUGCUCCUUGUGGGUGGGUUGACGGUAGCUGGAUAAGAAGCGCCGGCUAACUACGUGCCAGCAGCCGCGGUAAUACGUAGGGCGCGAGCGUUGUCCGGAAUUAUUGGGCGUAAAGAGCUCGUAGGCGGCUGGUCGCGUCUGUCGUGAAAUCCUCUGGCUUAACUGGGGGCUUGCGGUGGGUACGGGCCGGCUUGAGUGCGGUAGGGGAGACUGGAACUCCUGGUGUAGCGGUGGAAUGCGCAGAUAUCAGGAAGAACACCGGUGGCGAAGGCGGGUCUCUGGGCCGUUACUGACGCUGAGGAGCGAAAGCGUGGGGAGCGAACAGGAUUAGAUACCCUGGUAGUCCACGCCGUAAACGUUGGGCACUAGGUGUGGGGGGCCUUUUCCGGGUCUUCCGCGCCGUAGCUAACGCAUUAAGUGCCCGCCUGGGGAGUACGGCCGCAAGGCUAAAACUCAAAGGAAUUGACGGGGGCCCGCACAAGCGGCGGAGCAUGCG